UUAUUAAUCUUAUCGAGUCGCGGUAAGAGUUGCCAACUAGUAUAAUUUGAGUAACAACACCCAUACCUAAUCUUCAUAACUCUACACGUGAAAUAGUUCAAUCUAUGUUGUCAUCUACAAAAUAUGUCGCGCUUACUUUGGACUUCUAUAAAUACGGUUUCUUUUAUUACAGUGAAUACACAUUUUUCAAAGUGAAAACAUAUGUUUUAGCUACAAAAAAACUAGAAUCUAGUCAUACAGCACAUUAUUUGUCUGAAGUUUUAACAGAUAUAAGUUGGGUUGGGUUUUUUCGAAGUAAAAGUCGUUGCGAUUGUAACAGACUCAGGUGCGAAUAUAAAGACUGUAAUUAGAUUACUCGGAUUUGAUCCAUGCGUUACUCAUAAGUUAAAAAAUGCUUUAAAAAUCAUAGUUAUUGAUGAUUUUAAUGACACUACUACAGCUUCUCGUACUGAUGAAGUAUAAAUUAAGAAACUAAUAAAAAUGUGUCGAUCCAUUGUUGGACAUUUCAAACAAAGCCAAGUGUCGAGUAGACUUUUCGCGGAAAACAAGAACAACUUAAUUGUCCUACUUUAAAAAUAAAAAAAGAUAUCGCAACUCGCCGGAACAGUACACUUAUUAUGUUAGAACGUCUUUCAGUGAUUGAAGAACAUUUAAUGCUGUUUUGAUGCCUUUACCACGUUGUCCUAAUAUACCAACAAAUGAACAGCGGAAAGUUAUAAAUGAUUUGGUUACACUUAGAAACCUUAUGAAAGUUUAACAGUACAACUAUCAUCAUAAACGACCAAUUUUAGGAAAAGUAAUUCCAUUUAUAAGAGGUUUACUAUUAUCAGUUAGAAAUAAAAAUCCAUCAACAUCUCCUGGAAACUUUUUCUAAUGGAACAAACAAAAACACAAUUUGGAGAUAUAAAGGGAAAAUAUCCAUCACAUUUGUACGCAAAAGUGACAAUACUAGAUCCUCGAUUUAAAAAAGCAGCUUUCAUAUCUAUUGAUAAUGCUAAUGGAGCUGAAUGUGAAUACAAAAAGAUCUUGUUUAUCUAGAAAAUCAUGCUCCUUCGCUAACUGAACAAAUUAUACCAGACAGUACAAUUUUAGAAUCUAAUAGCAGAUCGAAUUCAAUACCCCAAGAAAAUCUACUAAAUUUUUUAGAAACAUGUGUCUGUACACUUGGUCUCAAACUACUUUCUCAGCAAAAGCAUUAUGUAGACAAUAUCUUGAUUUUUAACCAUAAAAGAUGAUCCAAUAUUAUUUUGAAAAAAUAAUAAUCAUAAAUUUGGGGCACAGUCCGAAAUCGCAUCUUG